UACAGAGGGUGCUAGCGUUAAUCGGAUUUACUGGGCGUAAAGCGUGCGUAGGCGGUUUGUUAAGUCGGUUGUGAAAGCUCCGGGCUCAACCUGGGAAUUGCAGUCGAUACUGGCAGACUAGAGAACGGUAGAGGGAGGCGGAACUCCGGGUGUAGCGGUGAAAUGCGUAGAUAUCCGGAAGAACACCGAUGGCGAAGGCAACCUCCUGGGCCUGUUCUGACGCUGAGGCACGAAAGCGUGGGUAGCAAACAGG
rnacentral:rRNA from 1 species